GUGCCAGCAGCCGCGGUAAUACGUAGGUGGCAAGCGUUAUCCGGAAUUAUUGGGCGUAAAGCGCGCGUAGGCGGUUUUUUAAGUCUGAUGUGAAAGCCCACGGCUCAACCGUGGAGGGUCAUUGGAAACUGGAAAACUUGAGUGCAGAAGAGGAAAGUGGAAUUCCAUGUGUAGCGGUGAAAUGCGCAGAGAUAUGGAGGAACACCAGUGGCGAAGGCGACUUUCNUGGUCUGUAACUGACGCUGGUGUGCGAAAGCGUGGGGAUCAAACAGGAUUAG
rnacentral:rRNA from 1 species